rnacentral:rRNA from 1 species
GACAUAGGUGGCAAACGUUAUCCGGAUUUAUUGGGCGUAAAGGAUGCGUAGAUGGUGGAAUAAGUUAUUGGCAGAAGUCGAGCUCAACUUGACGGAAGUUAAUAAUACUGUUCUACAUGAGGACAGAAGAGGUUGGCGGAACUUUAUGAGUAGGGGUGAAAUGCGCAGAUAUCAGGAGGAACACCGGUGGCGAAGGCGGGUCUCUGGGCAGUAACUGACGCUGAGGAGCGAAAGCGUGGGGAGCGAACAGG